rnacentral:rRNA from 1 species
AACCUGGUUGAUCCUGCCAGUAGUCAUAUGCUUGUCUCAAGGAUUAAGCCAUGCAUGUCUAAGUAUAAGCCCUUGUACGGCUAGACUGCAGACGGCUCAUUACAACGGUUGUAGCUUACAGAGCAUCCGGGCGCAAGCCUUCUGGAUAACCGCAGUAAAUCGGGGCUAAUACAUACAAACGGAGGGGUGGAGCGGGCAACCGCAAAGCUUCUGCGAUGGACACUUAGCUAUUCGACUAACCCUACGGGUCAGGUUGGAACCGGUUCAUAUUGCCAAUCGACUAUGGCUUGCCAUAGUCUGAUAAGCUCUAUAGACAACCGCCCUAUCAACUUGAUGGUAAGGUAUUGGCUUACCAUGGUUGUAACGGGUAACGGGGAAUCAGGGUUCGAUUCCGGAGAGGACGCCUGAGAAACGGCGUCCACAUCUACGGGUGGCAGCAGGCGCGUAAAUUGCCCAAUCUCAAUAGAGAGGAGGCGGCGACAAUAAAUCCCGAUGGCUAUGGGGGCAACCCCGGGCCAAUCAGAAUAAGUACACAAUAAAUACCCUAACCAAUAUAAUUGGAGGGCAAGUCUGGUGCCAGCAGCCGCGGUAAUUCCAGCUCCAAUAGCAUAUACUAACGUUGUUGCAGUUAAAACGCUCGUAGCUGAACAACUUGAUGGCAAAUUCAGGGCAGUGUCAAGAGUACUGGGGUCAAACCUUGGAUACAUCUUGCCUGUCCGGCCAAGCAAGUAGGUAGUUUGGAGUAGGGGCAACUCUGCUUCAGGCGAUCGACUGUGCAUAAACCUUGAUGCUCAAGGUAAAGACGACUCUAGUCAAAGAUACGCAGUGCAUGGCAUUGUGGAACAAGGCGAUCCGUAGCUUAGUUAGUGGGCUGCGGGUGCAAUGAUUAAUAGGGAGGAGCGGGGGCCUUCAUAUUGCCGGGCGAGAGGUGAAAUUCGUUGACCCUGGCAAGAUGUCCUACAGCGAAAGCAUUGGCCAAGUGCCUCUCCAUUAGUCAAGAACGAAAGUUUGGGGAUCAAAGACGAUCAGAUACCGUCGUAGUCCAAACCAUAAACGAUGUCGACCAGCGAUUAGGUUCGCCACCUUCUUCGAGAGCAACCUGGCAGCUUGUGGGAAACCAUGAGUUCUUGGACUCUGGGGGGAGUAUGGUCGCAAGGCUGAAACUUAAAGGAAUUGACGGAAGGGCACACCAUGGAGUGGAGCCUGCGGCUUAAUUUGACUCAACACGGGAAAGCUUACCAAGCUCAGAUAUGAUAAGGAUUGACAGACCAAUAGAUCUUUCAUGAUCU